CCUACGGGUGGCAGCAGUGGGGAAUAUUGCACAAUGGGGGAAACCCUGAUGCAGCGACGCCGCGUGAAGGAAGAAGGAUCUCGGCAUGUAAACCUCUUUUAGCAGGGAAGCAAAUGACGGUACCUGACCAAGAAGCCGCGGAUAACUACGUGCCAGCAGCCGCGGUAACACGUAGGGGGCAAGCGUUAUCCGGAUUUACUGGGGGUAAAGGGAGCGUAGGCGGUUUAGCAAGUCAGAAGUGAAAGUCCGGGGCUCAACUCCGGGACUGCUUUUGAAACUGCUGAACUAGAUUGCAGGAGAGGUAAGUGGAAUUCCUAGUGUAGCGGUGAAAUGCGUAGAUAUUAGGAGGAACACCAGUGGCGAAGGCGGCUUACUGGACUGUAAAUGACGCUGAGGCUCGAAAGCGUGGGGAGCGAACAGGAUUAGAUACCCCUGUAGUC
rnacentral:rRNA from 1 species